GAAUUUUUCACAAUGGGCGCAAGCCUGAUGGAGCGACGCCGCGUGGGGGAUGAAUGGCUUCGGCCCGUAAACCCCUGUCAUUUGCGGUCAAACCUUGCUAUUUAAAAGAUGGCGAGCUGAUAGUAGCGAAAGAGGAAGGGACGGCUACCUCUGUCCCAGCAGCCGCGGUAAUACAGAGGUCCCAAGCGUUGUUCGGAUUCACUGGGCGUAAAGGGUGCGUAGGUGGUUGGGUAAGUCGGAUGUGAAAUCUCGGAGCUCAACUCCGAAAUGGCAUUGGAAACUGCCCUGCUUGAGGGUCGGAGGGGGGACUGGAAUUCUCGGUGUAGCAGUGAAAUGCGUAGAUAUCGAGAGGAACACCAGUGGCGAAGGCGAGUCCCUGGACGACUCCUGACACUGAGGCACGAAAGCUAGGGGAGCAAACAGG
rnacentral:rRNA from 1 species